UACGAAGGGGGGCUAGCGUUGCUCGGAAUGACUGGGCGUAAAGGGCGCGUAGGCGGAUGGCACAGUCAGAUGUGAAAUUCCCGGGCUUAACCUGGGGGCUGCAUUUGAUACGUGUUGUCUAGAGUGAGGAAGAGGGUUGUGGAAUUCCCAGUGUAGAGGUGAAAUUCGUAGAUAUUGGGAAGAACACCGGUGGCGAAGGCGGCAACCUGGUCCUUGACUGACGCUGAGGCGCGAAAGCGUGGGGAGCAAACAGG
rnacentral:rRNA from 1 species